rnacentral:snRNA from 1 species
AGGAUGGGCUCGUGACUCAUAUACUAACACUAGAAAAAUACAGAGAAGAGUAAUAUGCCCUCAGCACAAGAAUGACAUGCUACUUUACAAAGAAUUCCAUAUCUUA